rnacentral:rRNA from 1 species
GCGAACGCUGGCGGCAGGCUUAACACAUGCAAGUCGAGCGGGCGUAGCAAUACGUCAGCGGCAGACGGGUGAGUAACGCGUGGGAACAUACCUUUUGGUUCGGAACAACACAGGGAAACUUGUGCUAAUACCGGAUAAGCCCUUACGGGGAAAGAUUUAUCGCCGAAAGAUUGGCCCGCGUCUGAUUAGCUAGUUGGUGAGGUAACGGCUCACCAAGGCGACGAUCAGUAGCUGGCUGAGAGGAUGAUCAGCCACAUUGGGACUGAGACACGGCCCAAACUCCUACGGGAGGCAGCAGUGGGGAAUAUUGGACAAUGGCGAAAGCCUGAUCCAGCCAUGCCGCGUGAGUGAUGAAGGCCCUAGGGUUGUAAAGCUCUUUUGUGCGGGAAGAUAAUGACGGUACCGCAAGAAUAAGCCCCGCUAACUUCGUGCCAGCAGCCGCUGUAAU